GGGGGGGGGGGGGGGGGGGGGGGGGGGGGGGAGGGCGGGCGGGAGCAGAGGAAGAGGGGGCGCGGAAGGGUGGGGGGGGGCGGAGGGGGGCGGAGGGCAGAGGAGUGUGCUUGUGCGGGGGGGAGCACGAGGGGAAAGGGACUGUAAGACAGCAUAGUGCGUACGGGUGGAAGCAGGGGAGAUUCGGCCGUAUAGGGAAGGUAUGGGAAGAGGUCGGAUUAGCUGGGGGGGGGGGUGAAGGCGCAGCAAGGCGGAGAUGCGUAGCUGGGCUGAGAGGAUGAUCCGCCACACUGGAACUGCGACACGGUCCCGACUCCUACGGGAGGCACCAGUGGGGAAUAUUGGACAAUGGGCGCAAGCCUGAUCCAGCCAUACCGCGUGGGAGAAGAAGGCCCUCGGGUUCUAAAGCCCUUUUGUUGGGAAAGAAAAGCAGCAGGUUCAUACCCCGCUGUUCUGACGGUACCCAAAGAAUAAGCACCGGCUAACUUCGUG
rnacentral:rRNA from 1 species